rnacentral:rRNA from 1 species
UACGUAGGGGGCAAGCGUUGUCCGGAUUUACUGGGCGUAAAGAGCGUGUAGGCGGCCAAACAGGUCCGUUGUGAAAACUGGAGGCUUAACCUCCAGACGUCGACGGAAACCGUGUGGCUAGAGUCCGGAAGAGGAGAGUGGAAUUCCUGGUGUAGCGGUGAAAUGCGCAGAUAUCAGGAAGAACACCAAUGGCGAAAGCAGCUCUCUGGGACGGUACUGACGCUGAGACGCGAAAGCGUGGGGAGCGAACAGG